rnacentral:rRNA from 1 species
GUGAGGAAUUUUCCGCAAUGGGCGAAAGCCUGACGGAGCAAUGCCGCGUGAAGGAUGAAGGCCUAUGGGUUGUAAACUUCUUUUCUCAGAAAAGAAUUAUGACGGUAUCUGAGGAAUAAGCAUCGGCUAACUCUGUGCCAGCAGCCGCGGUAAGACAGAGGAUGCAAACGUUAUCCGGAAUGAUUGGGCGUAAAGCGUCUGUAGGUUGUUUAAAAAGUAUUCUGUCAAAGAUUAGGGCUUAACCCUAGAUAGGCAGAAUAAACUUUUAGCUAGAGUUUGGUAGAGGCAGAGGGAAUUCCCGGUGGAGCGGUGAAAUGCGUAGAUAUCGGGAGGAACACCAAAGGCGAAGGCACUCUGCUGGGCCAAUACUAACACUGAGAGACGAAAGCGAGGGGAGCAAAUGGGAUUAGAAACCCUGGUAGUCC